GUAUAAUUAUUUUGUAUUUUAAAACCUUACUUUGCAGUGCUUACAGAGAAAAAGCCCUCCAAAGUUAGAAUACCUUCCUUUAUAUUUUAAAAAAUAAAGUCAACCUAUGUUUCCUGUAGUAAGGUCUUAUGAUUUGAUUUUAAACUUGUGUUCUCUGCUCAGAAAAGAGAAAAUGAUGAAAAAUAGGUGGCUUUUGGCAAUAUUCAAGUAGGCAUAACUCUUAACUUUAAAAAAAAAUCAAUAUCACUUUUUUUUUUUUACUUCUAGGUAUUAAUACAAAAGAAGCAAAUGAAAAUAGAUUUUUUUUUUCCUUAGGGUGCCCUAUGAUGUCCCAGGCAUAAGGAGAACUAAGUUAUUCCCUUUCCACCUAGUCUUUUUGAGCGAGAUUAUUAGUUUUCUUUAGUAAAUGGACCAACCCAUCAGGAAAACAAACUUGAACAAUGAAAAAGAAUAAAAUAAUUUACAUGUUUAAUCAUACAAUUGCCAAACUUCCAAAUGAAAAAAAAAAAAAAAUCUAUCAGUAUUAUCUUUUAACUCUCUUUCAAUUCAGAUUCCCUCCCUCCUUCCCAAGUGUAUAAAUUUGGCUUCUUUUCUGUGGUUUUCUUUUUAAAAUAUAUAAUGCAUUUUAUAUAGUUUUAUUUUCUUCUUUACAGAUGUUCCGCAUCAUCAGGAUUAUUUAUUGGAUCACUAAUAACUUUGUGUUAACUGCAGAAAUCGAAUGAUGUUUUUCCUCCUCAGACAGCAAGAAAACCUCAAACAGGUGAAAGAAGUAAAAGUGGAAAAGCAAGGAUUUCAACAGAUAUCUAUCUUCACUGAUCCUGCACUAAGAUGGAUUGGUGCCAAAUACAACAAUAGUUUUGCCUGAGAAGAUAUUGCGGCCUCAGGGUAGUGAACUGAGAUACAUCCCCCAUUCCCCAGUUGAGAACCAUGGCAGCCAUCUACUAACAGCAGGUAAUGAAUAAUGAAGUCUAUCCUGUGAGGCAGGGAUCAUUGAUUAGAUUUUUCUCUAGACAAGGCACUAUCCAUCCCUAGUGAUCUUCUAAUCUUAUUUCAUUUUCUUCAGUGUGACCUAAGUCAAAAUCUUAAUAAAAAAAAAAAAAAAAAAAGAACAAAAAAAUACCCUGACAUGAUGCUGUUAUAAACUUGGUCUAAUAUUCAGGCUUGUUUAACAGUGAAAA
rnacentral:lncRNA from 1 species